UACGGGGGGGGCAAGCGUUGUUCGGAAUUACUGGGCGUAAAGGGCGCGUAGGCGGCCAUCUAAGUCAGACGUGAAAUCCCUCGGCUCAACCGAGGAACUGCGUCUGAUACUGGAAGGCUUGAAUCCGGGAGAGGGAUGUGGAAUUCCAGGUGUAGCGGUGAGAUGCGUAGAUAUCUGGAGGAACACCGGUGGCGAAGGCGGCAUCCUGGACCGGUAUUGACGCUGAGGCGCGAAAGCUAGGGGAGCAAACGGG
rnacentral:rRNA from 1 species